rnacentral:misc_RNA from 1 species
AAGCUGUUGUUAAAUUGGUUCUAACAUGUUUUUCUUUACUAUUGGGCAUCAAUAUAUCAACAUGCUUCUCUUUAGAACCUUAAGUACAUCAACAUGCUCCUCUUUACUACUGGACAUCAAUAUAUCAACACGUUCUUCUUUGCCAUUGGGCAUAAAUAUAUCGGACAAAAUAAGAUCAGCAAACAGCACCUUACCUAAACUUUAAAUUCAACGGGAUCUGGUUAGAUUUAAGGCUCGAACAAUCUUAGUAUGUAGUAAGGGUUGAAAAGAAGGCUUCUACCAAAACUCUCUCGUAUAUAUCACAAAACUGUGGCGUUUUAACAUGUACUGCUUUGGUGGUCUUUGUAUAUUCUAGUAAUAUCUGUAAUAUAUUUUUCGAAGAAUUUUUUCAGUUAUUGUAUCUGAUACAUGUAUAUUGUUUACUUUUCGUACCUGGAAAACCAUGACACACAAUUAACAGUUCGUAUUAUAUUUUAAAAGAUUGUCUUUUAAGGGGGAUGGACAUACAUUUGUCUAUAUAUAGCCUUUAUUGUUCGUUUUUGUGGUUAUGUUAAAAAGAAAACUAAAUAGAAAUAUAGAAGAAAUAGCAGAAAUAAAAACUAUGAUUAAAAC